rnacentral:lncRNA from 10 species
GUGCAGUAGUAUCUUCCAAGCGCUUCAAUGAUCCAGAUAUAGAGUUGUUGCUAGUGCUUGUAUAAGUCUAACAUUUUGAUUCAAAAAGGGAAGGAAAAAGAGUUGAUUACAUUUUAGUUACAGAAAACAAUGGGUGCCACAUUAAUAAGAAGAACUUGCAGAAUAAACACAAAGUUUCUGUUCUAAAAAUAAGUCAGUUCACCUAAGAAAAUCAUCCAAAAACAAUUUAAGUCUAUUAUAAUUACUUUUAAAAAAAGAAAAGAAAAGAAAAAGCCUACAUAAUUUAAAGAUGGCUGUUUCAGGAUCAAAUUGCAACAACUAGUAAAAGUAUGUAUUAGUUAUAUUUAUGAAGUGACACAGUAAUACUGAAGAUACUCAUUUGUCAAGCAACAUCAUUUUUUUUUAACAAUGUCUACACUUCCUAGACAUGAAAUUAAAAUAAGCUUUAGUAUUCAACACAGGAAGGUGACAAUAAGGGAACUAAGGUGCUACAAAUCCAUUAGAGGACCAUAUCCAUGAGUUUAUAAGGCUAGCGGAGGACAGAGCAAAACUUUUGAAGGAAACCAGGUGAGGGCCCCUUUGCAAAAAAAAACAGAAAGAUUUGAAACAGAAAUCAUUUUUCCAAUUGUUAUGUUGAGGAAAAAGUUAUAUAUCGCAAAGGUAAGAUUUUAUAACUAUCCCUAAAAAUGGUUCUCAAUCAUUCCCUUGAUCUGCAUUUGUUAAGGUAAAAAGAUGAAGACUUGUAUAGUUUCCAGUUUUAGCAGUCAUUUUUAAUACAAGGUAUACCCAAAUAAUGGUGAAUAAAAUGACUACAUGAAAGUGUAUUAUACCAGAUGCACAUUAAUCACCAUGUUUUGAAAUCAAAGGUUUAUAAAGUCCAUAAGGGCAAAGAUUUUGAUGUUGCCAUUAAGUUCACUAAAGUAUCUGAGGCAUGCACAGCAUAAAGUUCACUAAGUGCUUGCUACAUAAUCGGCACUAAAUUUUUGUUGGAUAAGUUAAUACUUUUUUAUUGUAUCUAUCUAAAAUCUCUGCUAUAAAAAUGAAAAAAAUCUGAAAAUAUGCAAAAGUGAAUUUUCCCACAUACAGCCACCACUCAACACAAACAAUCAGAUGAAUAUGAAAAACGAGAACAUGACAAUAAAAUAAAGUUUCAAAAUGGCUGGCAUUUUUAGCAAAAACAAUUUCAAAAAGAGGAAUAAGAGAAGAAAUUAAGUGUUUGGAAAACCAAAUCUUGCUGCUUUUCUGUCACCCUGUUGCCAUCCCCAGCCCCCAUCAUCUCAGUGCCAAUAACAGAUAUUCAUCAUUAAAUAGAAGAAAUAUUUCAUAAAAACAAAGUACUCCACUAUUCUAACAAACUACAAUCCACAAACAAGAACAAACGUUUCAAAGUAAGUUUAAAAGGAAAAAAAAAAUCCCAUUUUACAAACCAAUUACAUUUAAGCUGAUGAAACUUCAUGGCUUACUUUAGAAAUAUGAACCUUUUCCAUGCUGGGCAGGUCAAUUUGGAAACCACCCCACCUCAUUUUUCAAAUACUUUUUCCAAUUACUUGAGUUGAUCCUGAGGUUCUCCAUUCCUCUCACAUCUGAUCCUUGCAUGACCUAGUGAAGUUUAAAAGUCAUCUAAGAAAACACAGUGGUGUUCUUCACUCAUGUAUUUUUGCUCAUGUAUCAAAUAAAGAAUGGAGAGAAAAUUGGGUAGAGUACUACAAAUGGAAAUACGCUAUUCACUUCCACAUGACAAUCUACAUUAGAGAUGGUCAUUUUUCCCACUUAUUUAACAGAACACCCUUGAUCAAACCCUCAAGUAUAAAUCUGUCCAUAAAAACCCAUGAAAACAUGACAUUUGGAAGAAACAGUAUUACAAAGAGAGCAAUGAAUAAAACAAUCAAACUUCAGUGACAAAAAAUCAUAUUAAAACUGUAACUGAACAUUUUUUAAAUGUCCAAACCUACGUUUCAGAACAUAAUCAGACUUAAUGUGAAAAAAAUGAAUUUUAGCUUUAGAUGUUAACAAUUUUUAAAUUACACAUAAUGACACUAACUAAGGCAAUGCAGGGUUCAUUCAAAGAGAAACAUCUAUUUUAAUUCCAGGUUUAAAAAUGAUUUUAAAAGUACUUGUUCCAUAAUGUGCUGUUGGGACAAUAUGGCACUAGGGAAUUCCAUUAUAAACAUACAAUGAUCAACUCAAAAUCGAAGACAGGUAAAAGGAGACCAGAAGGAGGUGGGAGAUGGCUGAAAGACACACUAUGAGUAAGCCCAAGACUAAAUUCACAAAAUCUUGUUUCCUCACUUUUGUAUUCUAAAUGUCUAUCAUAGUAUGAACAUCUCACUGCUCUGAGUGUAAUUCUUGUAUAUAAUAAUACUUAUUUUUAAUGUAAAUUGGACCACAAAAUGCCAACUACUUCAUUUGGUGCUCUACUGAAAAAUGUAAGUUCUUUUUUUGUUGUUGUUGUUUUCUACUGGAGAUAAAACUAGAUAUUUGGCUGUACUGAGAGUCUCUGAAGUACUGCAUACUUUGUUCUACAUUGUGAUUUACGGGCAACUUAAUCUUUUAAAAGGCUAAUUCAGAAUACACGUCAUUUUUAUUUCAUGGCCAACUAUUAGUCCUAAGAUAAGCUGCAACACCAAUAUACCUAUACAAUAGCAUUAAGUGGAAACAAAAAUUAUUUACUUCAAACAAAAAUUUAAAACUAGAUCCAAAAUUAAACAAUGACUCUAUAACAAGUAACCAAAGAAACAGCAGCUAUGAUUAUUUACAAAAGGUAUGGUUGCCUCAGAUUAGUCUACAAGGCUCUGUCAUCUGCAUUGGUGAUGGCAAGUGCUAUGCCUUCAACCAUUAGAAAACAUAAUGUGCUGGUUAAAAUAUUAAAAUAAAAUAAUGUACUAUUCAAGUGUCCCAUAAAAACCACAAACUUUGUACCAAGCCAACCUUGAGACUACAACAUGUAAACUACCCAACAUAAAUCACCAAAAGAAUGAGUACAUUAAAAAAAAAACAGUGAGCUGUAGAACAACCUUAAGUAGCCUAAUUUACAUGCUACUAGAAUACUCAAAAAGAAUGGGAGGAUCAAAACAAACGAACAAAAAAUCCCCACAAAACUGAAGAAAUAAUAGUAGGAAAAAUUAUAAAAUUGAUGAAAAAAAAAAAACCCCCACAGUUUAAGAACCUCAAGUAACCCCAAGAAAAAUAAAUAUGAAGAAAAGUAAAUGAACUCAGUUCAUUAUCAAAUUGCUUAUCUUUAAAAACCAAUGAUAAAGAGGAAAUGUUACAAGAAACCAGGCUUUUCUUUUUUCUUUUUAAGGAUGUCUUACACUCCAAAAACAAAGAUUAAGAAUGAAAGCAAAAUCUUCCCUGAAAACAUUCGAUCUAGAAAACAGGAGAGUACUAAAAGAAAAAACUGUCAACUUAGAAUUCCACAGGCAGCUAUUAUAAAAUAUCUUUCUAAAACAAAUACAAAAUAAAGGCUUUUUUGGAUAUAAAAGCAGAAAGAACUAAUCACUAGCAGACCAACACUACAAUAAAUGCUAAAAGAACUAUUUCAGACAAAUAAUAAAUGAAAUGUGAAUAUACCAAAAAGAAGGAAGAGCAUUAGAAAUGUUCAUUGCUAAUAGUAAAUAUAGUACAGAGAGAUGAUGAUGAUGUGAAAUUUCUCAUCACACCACUCAAAACAGUGUGCAAAUUAUAAUGUAUUUAUUUCUGGAAUUUUCUAUUCAAUAUUUUUCAGACCGCAGUUGACUGAAGAUAACUGAAACUGUGAAAAGAGAUAAGGAAGGAGUAACAGACAAAUACAGUAAAAAUGGUAAACAAUAAAGACUUGUUCCAUUAUUUUACUUUUUUAUUUAUUUUUUUUUUUUGAGACAGAGUCUUGCUCUGUCGCCAGGCUGGAGUGCAGUAGUGCGAUCUGAGCUCACUGCAACCUCCACCUCCCGGGUUCCAACGAUUCUCCUGCCUCAGCCUUCCCAGUAGCUGGGACUACAGACACCUGCCACCAUGCCCAGCUAAUUUUUGUGUUUUUAGUAGAGAGCGGUUUCACCAUGUUGGGCAGGAUGGUCUUGAUCUCUUGACCUCGUGAUCCACCCGCUUCGGCCUCCCAAAGUGUUUGGGAGUACAGCCAUGAGCCACCGCGCCUGGCCUAUUUUAAACUCUUUACAAGACAGAUGAUAUAGAGCAAAAGUAGUAACAAUAAAUUGUGUUUUAUAAUAUAUGUAAAAAAACAAUAAGUGAUAAAAAUAGCACAAAACCAAAAGGGGAGAAGUAUACAGCUACAAGGUUCUUAUACUUUAUGUAAACUAGUAUAAUAUUGCUUGAAGGUAAACUCUGAUAGGCUAACGACGCUAUACCGUACUCUCUAAAUCAAACAAUACAAUAUAACAAAAAAUUAUUGCAAAUCAGGCAAAACUGAAUCAUAAAAAAAGUUCAAUCAAACAUACAGCAGACAGAGAAAGAGAAGGGAAGAGAAAUGAUGGGCAAAAAGAAAAGGAUUAGCAAAUGUUAGAUUAAAAUGCAACUACACAGAGGCCAGGUGCAGUGGCUCACACUGUAAUUCCAGAACUUUUGGAGUCAGGCAGAUCGACUAAGGUCAGGAGUUCGAGACCAGCCUGGCCAACAUGGUAAAACCCUGUCUCUACCUGUAGAUUAGCUGCACCUGUAGUCUCAGCUAAUCAGGAGACUGAGGUGGGAGAUCGCUUGAACCCAGGAGGCAGAGGUUGCCGUGAGCCGAGAUCAAGCCACUGCACUCCAGCCUGGGAGACAGAGCAAGACCCUGUUCCAAUAAUAAUAAUAAUAACAGUAUUAUAAUAAAAUACAACCACUCAGAGAAUCAUAUUAUCUGUAAAUUCUCUAAACACCCCAAUUAAAAAGCAAAGAUUGCAACAAUGAAUGAAUAAACUCAUAACAUGACUAUACGCUGCCUUAAAAAAACCUAUUUUGGCUGGGCGCAGUGGCUCACACCUGUAAUCCCAGCUGUUUGGGAGGCGGAGAAGGGUGGAUCACCUGAGGUAAGGAGCUGGAGAUCAGCCUGACCAACACGGAGAAACCCUGUAGCUACUAAAAAUGCAAAAUUAGCUGGGCGUGGUGGCACAUACCUGUAAUCCCAGCUAUUCAGGAGGCUGAGGCAGGAGAAUCGCUUAAAACCAGGAGGCGGAGGUUGCGGUAAGCCAAAAUCGUGCCAUUGCACUCCAGCCUGGGCAACAAGAGUGAAACCCCCCCCCCCCCAAAAAAAACAAACAAACAAACAAAAAAGAAGCCUAUUUUAAGUUAAAUUAACUUCAGGCCAGGCGCAGUGGCUCGCGCCUGUAAUCCCAACACUUUAAGAGGCCGACACAGGUGGAUCACUUGAGGCCAAGAGUUCAGGACCAGCCUGGCCAACAUGGUGAAACCCCGUCUCUACUAAGAAUACAAAAAUUAGCCAGGCAUGGUGAUGCACACCUGCAAUCCCAGCUACUUGGAAGUCUGAGGCAGGAGAAUCACUUGAACCCAGGAGGCAGAGGUUGCAGUGAGCUGAGAUCAUGCUACUGCACUCCAGCCGGGGUGACAGAGCGAGACUCUAUCUCAAAAAAAAAAAAAAAAAAAGAAAAGAAAAAAGAAGCCUAUUUUAAAUAUAAAGGCACAAAGAAAGUAUAAGCAUGUGAAAAGAAACAUCAAGCUAAAGCUAAUCAAUAGAAAGCUAAAUUCACUAUAUUAAUAUCAGCCAGUAGAUUUCACAACAAAGAAUAUUAACAAAAUACAGUGGCUUACUCAUCAAGAUACAAAAAUCCUAAUUGUUUCUGCACCUAAUACCCACCGCUCACAAUAACUGACAGAACAAACAAGCAAAAAACGAGUAAGGAUAUAGAAAACUUAAUAUAAAUCAACUUGACCUAAUGGACAUUUACAGAAAAACUCCACACAACUACAAAUGAAUACACAUUCAUUGUUAUAAAAAACACAUAGAGCCGGGCACGCCUGUAAUCCCAGCAACUUUGGGAGGCUGAGGGGGCAGGUCACGAGGUCAAGAGAUCGCGACCAUCCUGACCAACAUGGUGAAACCCUGUCCCUACUAAAAAUACAAAAAUUAGCUGGGUAAGUCCCAGCUACUUGGGAGGCUGAGACAGGAGAAUCGCUUGAACCUGGGAGGCAGAGGCUGCAGUGAGCUGAGAUCGUGCCACUGCACUCCAGGACAGAGGGAGACUCUAUCUCCCCCUCAAAAAAAAAAAACAAACAAACAAAAAGCAAACAAAAAAAAAACACAUACAUAGAAUGUUUAACAAGAUAAUCCAUGUUCUGCAUCAAAAAAGUAUCAAUAAACUUAAAAGGAAUGAUAACACAAAAAUAUUAAAUUAGAAAUCAGUAACAAAGUGAAUAUCCAAAUAUUUCUAAACUAAAUAACACACUUUUAAGUAACUCAUAGGUCAAAGAAGAAAAGGAAAACCAUACAAAGCAUUUUUUAACUAAAUAAAAAUGAAAACACAACAUAUCAAAAUUCAUAAAGCCCUACUUAAGAGGGAAGUUUAUAUCAUUAAAUGCCUAUACUAGGAAUUCUGGUUUCUCGUUGAGCAUAUAAGGAGCAGAGAGAAGUCUUUGCUCUGCCCUAAAACAAACACAAAACUCAACAAACUGAAAAUCACCAACUCUUAUAUCAGUGAAUUGAGAGGUCACAGGGCAAACUGCUAAACAAAAAAUUGGGGGUCAUACCUGUAAUUCCAGCACUUUGGGAGGUGGAGGCAGGCGGAUCACAAGGUCAGGAGAUCAAGACCAUCCUGGCUAACAAGGUGAAACCCCGUCUCUACUAAAAAAUAUUUAAAAAUUACCCAGGUGGGGUGGCAGGCGUCUGUAGUCCCAGCUAUUCGGGAGGCUGAGGCAGGAAAAUGGUGUGAACCUGGGAGAUGGAGCUUGCAGUGAGCUGAGAUCACACCAUUGCACUCCAGCCUGGGUGACAGAGCAAGACUCUCUCAAAAAACAAAAACAAAACAAACAAACGAACAAAAACAAAAAUUAGCUGGGCAUGGUGGCACAUGCCUGUAAUCCCAGCUACUUGGGAGGCUGAGGCAGGAGAAUUACUUGAACCCGGGAAGCAGAAGUUGCAGUGAGCCGAGAUCACACCAUUGCACUCCAGCCUGGGCAACAGGAGUGAAACUCCGUCUCAAAAAAAAAAAAAAAGGAAAGACAAAUCAGUGCACAGAGAGACUUACAACUUACUUAAGCAAAUCCAGCAGCUGAAACCUCUGCAGGAACCAGUACCAGGGAAAGAAAACCUGAACUAUUUUAGUUGAUACUGCUGGAGGCACAGUGUGAACAAGCCCGAAAAAGAAAACCUCCAGGGGGACCUGGUCUUGGGGGACCCUCACACUUUUGUGAAUUUUACCUCUAGGACCUCUAGCAGGCCCACAGAGUGAAUACCGGAGACAGAGUCCCCCAGAGAUCCCUCCAAUAAAGGGGGAAAAGGAACCAUUUUGAAAUAACCAGAGCUUUCUUUUUCCUAACAAGGCCUGCUAUUUAACUAUUUAACCAGAUCCUAACCUGUGGAGGUUUUUGUCAGAGCCUAACUAACCUAGGGAAGGGAAAUGUACAACCUCAGGCGACUCUAACCAUCAUCCUGUCCCACUUGAGGGAGAAAAAAAUAACUAAGAAGCCCCUAUGCAGUUCACAUUCCAGGGGUAGAGGUUCACCUAAAGACUGAAACCUAAUUAUAGAAAUAUAAGAUCUCCUGUUCCCCACAAUUCACUAGCACGUUAACUAAAGGCCUAUUUAUAGUGCAGUUCCCUUUGCCAGGAUAUAAUGUUCAACUUGAAACAACAACACAAAAGGCAAAAAAUACAGUUUAAAUAAAGUGAAAAACCAUCAGAAACCAAGUCAGACAUGGCAGGAAUGUUGGAAUUAUGAGACCAAUAAUUUUUGAAAUCUAUAAUUAAUAUGAUAAGGAAUUUAAUGGAAAAGGUAGACAACAUGCAAGAACAUAUGCAUAAUGAAAGCAAAUCAGAAAUGCCAGAGAGAUCAAAAACAAACAGAAAUGAAGAAUGUCUUUGAUGGAAUCAUCAGCAGAGUGGGACACAACUCAAGAAAAAAAUCUCUUAAGCUUGAGGAUAUGACAAUAAAAACUUCCAAAAUUGAAAAGGAAAGAGAAAAAAGACUGGAAAACAAAAGCAAACAAAAUAUCCAUGAAUGCUGGGACAUAUACAAAACACAUGACAUAGUUAAAAUGGGAAUACAGGGAAGAGAAGAAAAGAGAAGAAGCAAUAUUUGAAAUCAUAACGUCCAAAAACUUCCCCUCGAAUAAAUGGCAGUAGCCAAACCAGCUAUCAAAGAAACUUAGAGGAUGCCAAACAAGAUAAAUGCAAAAAAAGGAGGGGGUAAGGGAAGUACACCUCCAUGCUCAAAGAUUAAAAUCCACGAAGGAAGCCAGAAGAAAACACCUUACCCACACAGGCACUAAGUGUAAGAAUGAUAUCUGAAUUUGCCUCAGAAAACAUGCAAUCAAGCAGACAGUGAAAUAAAACACUUAAAGUGUGAUGAGAGGGUGAAAAAAAAGACAAGAAAAUGCAAUCAUAUAAAAUACUCAAUAAAAACCACAAAAGCUGUGAAUGACAAAAACAGUAACAAAAAUUUAAAAAUGAAAAAUAAUAAUAAAUAUGGUAGAUAUUAACCCAAUUAUAUCAAUAAUCACCUUAAAUGGCAAUGGUCUAAAUACCCCAAUUAAAAAAUAAAGAUUGUCACAGAUCCAAAACCAAGCAGCAACUACAUGUUGUCUACAGGAAACCUACUUUAAAUAUAAAGACAUGUAGAGUUUAAAGGAAAUCGUGCUCACUUUGGCAGCACACAUACAAAAAUUAGAAUGAUACAGAGAAGAUUAGUAGGACCCCUGUGCAAGAGUGACAUGCAAAUUCGUGAAGCGUUCCAUAUAAAAGUAAAUAAAUAAAAAGGAAAUGGAGAAAGGUAUACUGUGCUAAUGCUAAUUUUCAAAAAGCAGAAAUACUAUAUUAUGAACAGAACAGACUCAGAGCAAAGAAAGUUAUCAGGACUAAAGAGAGUAAUAAAAUAAGAUAAAGGUGUUAAUACUUCAAAAAGACAUAACAAUCCUUAAUGUGUAUGUGACUAACAAAAGAAGUCAAAAUAUAUGAAGCAAAAACUGAUAGAAAUUGAUACUGCAGCCAGAAAUUAACAGAUACACUAGUGAGAAAAUCAGUUAAGGACACAGUUGAGCUCAACAGUACUAUCAAUCAACUGUAUAUAAUUGACAUCUGUAGACUACUUCGUCCAACAACAGCAGAUGACACAUUCUUCUAUUCUCCAGCUUACAUGGAACAUUAACCAAGAUGGACCACAUUCUAGACCAUAAAACACACCUUAACAAAUUUUAAAGAAUAGAAAUCAUACAGUGUGCCUUGCUCUCUCAGACCACAGUGAAAUUAAACCAGAAAUCAAUACCAGAAAGGUGGCCAUAAAUCCAAAAACACAUGGAGAUUAAACAAGACACUUCUAAACAACAUAUAAGUAAAAGAAGAAAUAUAAAGAGAAAUUUUAAAAUAUAUGGAACUAAAUGAAAAUAAAACAUAAAAAUUUGUCAGAUGCUGGGAAAGCAGCAUUUAAAGAGGAAUUUAUCGCACUGAAUGAAUAUAUUAGAAAAGAAGAUAGAAGAACAAUAAUCUUUUUUUUUUUUUUUUUUUUUUGAGACAGAGUUUUGAUUGUCACCCAGGCUAGAGCGCAAUGACGCUAUCUUGGCUCACUGCAACCUCCACCUCCUGGGUUCAAGUGAUUCCCUGCCUCAGCCUCCUGAGUAGCUGGGAUUACAGGCGUCCGGCACCAUACCCAGCUAAUUUUUGUAUUUUUAGUAGAUACGGGGCUUCGCCAUGUUGGCCAGGCUGAUCUUGAACUCCUGACCUCAGGGGAUCCACCACACCUGGCUUUUUUUUUUUUUUUUUUUUUGAGAUGGAGUCUUGCUCUGUCACCCGCGCUGGAGUGCAGUGGUGAGAUCUCGGGUCACUGCAACCUCCGCCUCUCAGGUUCAAGUGCUUCUCCUGCCUCAGCCUCCCGAGUAGCUGGGACUAUGGGCCUGCACCACGAUGCCCGGCUAAUUUUUGUAUUUUUAGUACAGAAAGAGUUUCUCCAUGUUGGCCAGGCUGGUCUGGAACCCCUGACCUCAAGUGAUCCACCUGCCUCAGCCUCCUAAAGUGCUGGGAUACAGGCGUGAGCCACCGUGCCUGGCCUUAAUCUUCAAAAUAGUAGAAAAAGAAGAGCCAAUUAAGCCCAAUGUAAGCAAACAAAAAUUAAAGUGGCCAGGCAUGGUGGCUCACGCCUGUAAUCCCAGCACUUUGGUGGGUUAAGGGGGGGCAAAUGGCUUAAGCCCAGGAGUUCAAGACCAGCCUAGGCAACAUGCGAAACUUAUCUCUACAAAAAAUUAUAAGAAAAAAUUAGAUGGGCAUGGUGGUGUGUACCUCUAGUCUCAGCUGAUCAGGAGGCUGAGGUGGGAGUAUGCUUGAGCCUGGGAGGUCAAGGCUGCAAUGAGCCACUGCACUCCAGCCCGGGCAACAGAGCAAGACUGUCUCAAAAAAAAGUUUAAGCAAGGUGGCAGGAUACAAAAUAAACACAGAAAUUUCAACAGGAUUUUUAUACACUAGCAAGGAACAAUCAUCACUGUGGUAAGCUCCAAAGAAACGAAUAGAUGGUUUGUUCAAACCUAUUGAGGUCUAACAUGGAUGGACUGAAGAAGAGGAACAAAAAGAGCAAGACUAAGGCCAGGCAUUGUGGCUCACCUGUAAUCCCAGCACUUUGGGAGGCCAAGGCGGGUGGAUCACCUGAGCUCAGGAGUUUGAGACCAGCCUGGCCAACAUGGUUAAACCUUAUCUCUACUAAAAAUACAAGAAUCAGCCAGGCGUGGUGGUGGGCACCUAUAAUUCCAGCUACUCGGGAGGGUGAGGCAUGAGAAUCCCUUGAACCCAGGAGGCAAAGACUGCAGUGAGCCGAGAUCACACCACUGCACUCCAACCCUGCCAACAAAGCGAGAAUCCGUCUCAAAAAAAAAAAAAAAAGAUUAAGAGUAAGAAGAGCAAAGUAGCCCAGUGAAGGGCACAAACUUUCCUGCUUUCACCAACGAACCACUGAAUUGCUAUUUUUCCUUUGGUUUUUACGUUUUGCCUCAAACCUAGGUUUCUGUUUCUCUACAGUAACUUUUUUUAUGGUCAUUCUGGAGAGAAGAAGGGUUGCAAUGUUCACACAUUAGUUGUGAUAAGAAGCCAGUUUAUUUUAGAUUUGGCUAACCAGUCUGGGCUGUGUGACUAUAUACUCCUGAAUUAUAGUUUUAAAAGCUUGUAAAAGAAAACACAAAAAAAUUCAUAAACUAAAUUUCAUAAAGAAUGUCUGCUCUUCAAAAGAUUAAAAGAAUGAAAAUAUAAGCCACAGAGUGAGAUAAGUAUCUGCAAAUAUGUAUCUGACAAAGGACCUGCAUCCAGAAUACAUACUCUCACAAAAGUCAAUAACAACAAAACAAGCCAAUAAAAAAAAAGCAGGUGGUGGGGAGAGCUUAAUAAACACUUCACCAAAAAUAACAAAUAACAAAUAUGCACAUAAAAAGAUACCAGCUAAGCACGGUGGCUCAUGCCUGUAAUCCCAGCACUUUGGGAGGCCUAGGAGGGCGGAUCACGAGGUCCAGAGAUUGAGACCAUCCUAGCUAACACGGCGAAACCCCAUCUCUACUAAAAAAAUACAAAAAAAUUAGCCGGGCAUGGUGGUAGGCGCCUGUAGUCCCAGUUACUCGGGAGGCUGAGGCAGGAGAAUGCAUUAACCCAAGAGGCAGAGGCUGCAGUGAGCCAAGAUUGCACCACUGCACUCCAGCCUGGGCGACAGAGCGAGACUCCGUCACACAUACAAAAAAAGCAUAUACCUACCAUGGUGAGCCACACCUACCAUGUGGCCCAACCAUUCCACUCCUUGGUAUUCAUGCAAGAGAAAUAAAAACAUAUAUCUUAUAAGAUUUAUACAAUAUUUAUAGUAGCUUUAUUUGUAACAGCCCAAAACUAAAAACAACCUGAAUGUCCAUCAAUUGUUGAAUGGAUAAGCUAAUUAUAGUAUAUCCAUACACACAAUUGUGGUUAGCCAAAAAAUGAACUAUUAAAACAUACAACAAGAAAAAAUCUUAAAAUAAUUAUGCUGAAAGAUGCCAGACAGAAAAAGCAUACAUACUAUAUGUUUCCAUUUUUUAACAUUACAGAAAAUUCAAACUAAUUUAAACUGACAAAAAGCAGAUCAGUAGUUGCUUGGGGAAGGAUGUGAACUCAGGGAGAAGGAGAUUAAAAGAAGUCACAAGGAAACUGUUGCCUGUGAUUGUGGUGGUAGUUUCACUAAUGUGUACAUAUGUCAAAAUGUUAUCAAUGUUUCUAUUUUAAAUAUGUGCAAUGUAUCGUGUAUAAUAUAUUUAUGAUAUAUUAGACUUCUGAAUACCUUAUGAUCCUAAGAUUGUGUGUAUUUCCUUCAAAAUUAAAUUUACUUUUUAAAAAAGCUUAACUUUUAAAUAUAAUUGUAUUGUGUUGUAAAAAUACAAGGAAAGAACAGAGAGAUAAAGUGACAAUAAAAAAGAUUAAAUCUCCACUUGGAUUUCAUUAUAACUUCAAAGUUCUAAAGAUUUCUUUAAAAGAUGAUCCUUAAAGAAACAUUAAAAUUUUUAAAUUACACAUAAAAAUUAACUUAUUUUACCAAAAAUUUUCUCCUGAAAGUCUUAAAAAUCAGUACAAAAUUUAACAGCUAAUUGAAAGGAUUUACUUAAAAUUAGGUUCUCCUUUAUCCUCUUUUAAAAAAUGCUGCAAAGAGAAAGAGACAAAAACCUGAUCACGUAUCUCUGGUGCACGAAAACCUUCCUUAAAACAAACAAAAGCUGUACUUUAAAAGCUAAAUUACCUCAAAAUUCAAACAACUAAAAAUUGUGAGCUAUUUAUAAUGACGCUGAGAAACAACUAAGUCUUCUAAUAAUAAUGAAAGGUAAUGUGUUAAAGAUUGCUUUUAACAAGCUGUGAGGUUCAAUUUGUCAAUUUAAAAAGAGAACUGUGGCUUAUAAGCAUCUACGAAUUUCUUUACCAAAAUAACAUUGACAGCAAGCAAAUCUCUAUCAGGUCAAAACGAAGACUUUCUCACCUUUUUUUUUUUUUUUUUUUUUUUUGAGACAGAGUCUCGCUCUGUCGCCCAGUCUGGAGUGCAGUGCUACCAUCUUGGCUCACUGCAACCUCGGCCUCUGGGGUUCAAGCAAUUCUCCUGCCUCAGCCUCUCGUGUAGCUGGGAUUAUAGGCACAUGCCACCAUGCCCAGCUAAUUUUUUGUAUUUUUAGUAGAGACAGGGUUUCACCAUGUUGGCCAGGCUGGUCUCAAACUCCUGGCCUCAAAUGAUCCACCCACCUUGGCCUCCCAAAGUGCUGGAAUUAUAGGUGUGAGCUACCCCACCUGGCAUCUCCCCUUUUUUUCCUUGGCAAUAUCCUCUUCUACCAUGGGAAGAAGGAAACUAGUUUGAAGUGCUCAGAAAGACUAUAAAUUGGGGAAAUCAGGGGAGUAACCACACUUUCCUAAAAACAUAAGCUGUCUCUACUUGUUUUGUCAUAUUAAAGGACUCCGUACAUCAAGUUCUUGCAGACACAGAAUCCUAUGUGUUCCAUCUAAUCAUCUUUUACCUAAGAACCAAAAUCCCCCAAUCAUAGAAACAAAGAGCUAUGGCUUCUGGAAAAGACACUUACACUUUUACUCCCUCUGAUAACAAUCUUAGUGAACAAUGCUUAUGUAUCACCGGUGGUCCACUACCAUCGUUACCAAAGAUUUGUGUGAAAAUAUUACACUAGUAAAUUAUAGUUGCAAUAUUUAAAAGGUGAUAGUGAUACCACAUUAAUAACAUAAUAUUGAAGUAGAUACUUGUUGCUAAUUUCUAGUUUUAAAACAUUUAUAUGCAAAAGGGUUAAAGGUUAGUCACAGAAAAAGUGCACUAAAAAAUAUAAGGCAGUAUAAUCUAAGUUAAUAAAGAAAUAAAUGAAACGGAAUUUUUUACUAAGGAGUAAGAGAUGGUAAACUAAGGUUAAAACUGUGCAAACACUACAUGAUACAGACAUUUAAAAAUUACAGUAGUGAAUUAAAGUUCCCUUGACUUUCAAUUUAAGUGUGCUCUACCAUCAUCAACCAUGGAGUCUACACAUUGUGUACAUGUAUCAAAAUAUUACAUGUACCUCCAAAAUAUGUACAACUACGAUAUAUCAAUAAUUUUUAAAAACCCAUAUAGUCUAGAAGGAACCCUAAAGUUCUGGGUAAAACAGCCUUUCUUUCCCUGACCUAUCCCUAUCUUUCCAUCAAGAGAAGAUAAGAGUGUGGUGAACCAAUGUAAAAUGACACCGUUCCCCAAAAAGGAACCUAUGACUGAAGGCUUCUACCAGCCAUCAGGAUCAAGAAGAAGCCCAUACUACCUCUCUACCCAACCUCUUCAAACACUCAAGGCCUCAUCUUAUUUGCCUGAAGUCUACCAGGGUCAAUCGGAUAAUGACUUUCUCCCUGUUUUUAUGUCAGUCAUCAAAAGACUCCUGGUCCAUCCUCACCUGCCUCAUCCCUACACGGUUGUGAACCUCCCCUAUUAUGUCCACACCUGCCACCCCUCCUUCAACAGCUGAAAGCCUUCCACUGUGCUCCGAGAACAAGGUGCAAUGUACCCCAUCCUUUUCUCUGAACAUCUCCUCUGAUUCUUGUUCCAACAAAAACUUAGAUCGACCCUGAAACCCACUGUUUACUCUGUAGCUAUCUCAACGUUACUUUGCUCCCACAGCUCUUGUAUCACUGGGUAUGGAGAUGAGGUAGGUUUCCUCAUUCCUCAAUGUUAAUUCUACAACUCUCUAAAACCUUUCAGCAAAAAAAUCUCAAGUUACCAGACAUUAGCAACCAUUAGGUCUCAUCAUUAGGGUAGGAUACAGCAAACUACAGGCCCUCUAGUCAUCCACCUGUUUUUGUAUAGCUCAACAGCUAAGAAUGAUUUUAAUACGUUUAAAUGGCUUUUUAAAAAAAAAUCAAAAGAAGACUAUUUCAUAACACGUGAAAACUAUUCUAUGAAAUUUAAGUUCCAGUGUCCAUAAAUAAAGUUUUGCUGGAACACUGCCACAUCCGCUUGUUUACAAAUUGUCUAUGGCUACUCUGUUCUACAGCAACAAAGGUCUGAGUAUUAAAAAGAGCCAGUAUGGCCUACAAAACCUAAAAUACUUAGUAUUCAGCCCCUGACAGAAAAAGCUUGCCAACCACUACCUUAGUACCUACAUUACUGUCAGUCUUCAACACUACUGUUAUUUUACUUCUUAGAGAAUUCAGUAUACAUCUAGACAAUCUUUUAUAACCUCCAGUCUCUCUGUUCCUUGACAGCCUCUCUUCCAAUGAUCUUGUCUUCUGCCCUACAGCAGCCCCUCAUGCCCUGAUCACAUCCUAGAUUCUGAUAUGAUUAAAUAAUCUCAAACCCUCAAUAAUCUCCAUUUCAUAUAUCCUACUCUUAAAUACCACUUCAUAUUUCUAAUUCACUCUUUACUACUCCAACAAUCUUUGAGGUCUUACUGAGUUGCCCAGGCUGGUCUCAAACUCCUGGGCUCAAGCAAUCCUCCUGCCUCAGCCUCCCAAAGUACUGAAACUACAGGCAUGAGCCACCAUGCGCAGCCUUCAACAAUCCCUUAAUUUCACCAGAAACCAUGAACCAGUAUAUACUAUCCCUCAUCUAUUGUCCUCAUUUCCCUACCCACUGGGUUUAAAUAUAAUGAUCCAUCAUUAUAACCCCCCUGGCAUUUACCCUCACUCAUUCGCUGUAUUCAGAUGGUAAAAUAACAACCUGACCAAACCCUACUCUGUGCCCACGUCCAUAGAGAUGGACAAGAAUAGAGAAAAACAAAAAGCUGUGUAAAUCUGCCUCACCUUUAAGUCUUGCCCAUGAACCUUCAGGUGGAACACUGUGACUACCCAGAAAUCAUAGUAAACAUUGUGGAAAUUUUCUUUUGCAUUAUUAUAGUUAACCAUCUCAUGCCUUUUUUUCUUCACUCAAAUCUCUAAUACUCCUCAAAUCGUCACAACUAAAAGCAUUGCUUCUUACUUUACCAAAAAACGUCUGGAUUUAUCACAAGAUAUUUUCCCCAAAAUCCCAUCCCUUCUCAUAUUCUAGGGGACAUCACUGUAGCAAUAUUUCUGUCUUUUCUAUCAUUUCAUUAUUCCUCCUCUCUACUGAAUCAUUCCUAUUAGUGUACCUAACAUCCUAUUAUUUAUCUUAUUUUUAAAAUACCCUUCAUUAUCUCCACUUCCCUAACCUAUUCUUCUGCUCCUCUUCAUAGCAAAGCUCCUCAUUUACACACACUGUCUGACUUUUCUCCCCCAUUCUCUCUAUAAAGCACUCCAAUCAGGCUUUUGCCUCAAUCAGUACUUUAAAACUGUUCAAGGUCAGUAAUGACCUCCAAAUGACUAAAAGGGCUAGUCCUUAAUAUAUGACACAGUUCACUUAUCCCCACCUUUCUUUAACUUGGCUUCCAGCAUACCACAUCCUGUUAGUUUUCUUCCAAACUCUAGCCUCUUCUCAGUCUCCUUUGUCGGUUGUACCUCCUCUUCCAGAUCUUUCGACACAGGAGGUCCUGAGCCUCCUAAGGCCUAUUUCUCUACCUGCACUCACUUCUCCCUUAGUGGUAUCAUUCAGUCUUGUGGCUUUAAAUAACUCCAUAUGCAUAUAAUUCCCACAUUUAAUAUCCAAAGUUGAGACCUCUUUUCUGAAUACCAGACUAGUUAUCCAACUGGCUAGUCAGCAUAUCUACUCAGAUGUCUAAUAUUAAUAGAUACAUCUCAACGCCAACGUAUCUGUGGUAGGCAGGAUAGCACCCCUCAACCAAGAUGUCCACAUUCUAAUCCCUGAAACCUGUGAAUAUGUUAUAUUACAUGGCAAAAGGGGCUUUGCAGAUGUAAUUAAACUUAAGGAUUUUAAAAUAGGGACGUUAUCUUGGACUUUCCAGGUAGACCCAAUCUAAUCACAUGAGCUUAAAGAGAGAACUUUCUCCAACUAAAAGCAAAAGAGAUGCAAAAAAAAAUUCCAAGUGUAAGAGGAAUUCAACAUGCCAUUGCUACCUAUGAGAUGGAGGGGAUCAUCUGACAAUGGCACAAGGAAACAAAAAGAGGCUCUAGAAGCCAAGGGCUGAUCCCCACCUGACAGGCAGCAAAGAAGUGGGCACCUCAGUCCUACAACCAAUCACAAGGAACCAAAUUUUGCCAAUAACCUGACCAAGCAUAUAAGCAGAUUCAUUCUGCCAAUAACCUGACGAACGGUAGAAACAGAUUCUUUCAGAUAAGAACCCAGACCAUCCAACACCUUGAUUUUGGCCUUGAGAGACCCUAAUUAGAGGAAACAGCUGAGUCCACCCAGACUUCUGGCCUACAGAACGACUAGUAAGUUUAUGUUGUUUUAAACUGGUAUACUGUAGUAAUUUCAACUGCAAUAGAAAACUAAAACCACAUCCCAAACUGAAUUCCUUUCUUUCCCCUCAACCUGCUAUGCCCACAGUCUUUCCCCUCUUUGUUAACAGUGACUCUAUACCUUCUAGUGAUCUGACCCAAAAUCUUUGGAAUCAUCCAUGGAUCCUCUCUUUCUCAUAUGCCUCUAACUUAUCUGUAAGAAAGUCAGGUGGGCUUUGUAUGUAUUCAGAAUCUGAUCACCUAUCACUACCUCUGUUUUUACCACCAUCUCUCUCUGGACGAUUGCAUACCUUGCUAAUGGCCUCCCUGCUUCCAUUCUGACUUUCCACAGCCUGUCCAAAACAAAGCAGCCAGAGGUCCUUUCAAAACCUAAGUCAGACCACGUUACAUCUCAAUUCAGAAACCUCCAGUAGCUCACUUUUCGAUCAAACUAAACACAAAGUCCUUACACUGGUUUAUACAGCUUUGCAUAAUGGGUCCCUCACCCUAGACUCAUCUCCUACUGCACUUCCCAACUUAUUUAUUCUGUCCCAGUCUCCCUCUGUUUUCAUAUUAACCACAAGAUAAUAAUCCUAAUACUACUUAAUAUUUACUAAUUCUCACUAUGAACCAAAUACUGUUCUAAUUGCUUUACACAUAUUCUGUCAUUCCAUUUCAUUAAUAAUUUCCCCCACUUUACAAAUGAUAUAAUUGAGUUAACCAAGGUUAAUUAACCUAAACACUCAAUCAGUAAGUGGCAAGGCCAGAAUUCAAAAUCUCAGAUGAAUGAAGUCCACCCACAGCCAAAAUUCUCUGUCUCAAUGAUGGUUCCCACUUGUUAUCCUUACUUAACAACAGGCUUUGGAGACAAGCACAGAAUAAACAGAAGGUAGAAUAAGGUAAGAAAUGAGAAUUCAGGCCAGGAGUGGUGGCUCUUGCCUGUAAUCCCAGCACUUUGGGAGGCUGAGGUGGGCGGAUCACAAGGUCAGGAGAUCGAGACCAUCCUGGCUAACACAGUGAAACCCCGUCUCUACUAAAGAUACAAAAAAUUGGCCAGGCACAGUGGCACGCGCCUGUAGUCCCAGCUACUCGGGAGUCUGAGGCAGAAGAAUCACUUGAACCAGGUAAGUGGAGGUUGCAGUGAGCUGAGAUUGUGCCACAGCACUCCAGCCUGGGUGACAGAGCGAGACUCCAUCUCAAAAAAAAAAAAAAAAAAAAAAAAAAAGAAAUGAGAAUUCUAAGUGCCUGAUAUGUGGUUGAAAAGCUGGGAAAAGUUAGGGAAUGAAAACAGUUUUUAGAGGUGAAAAUCAGCACAAUAACUACUUAUUACAUAAAACAAAAUAUGAUACUUAAAACUUACUUUUUCUGUAGUAACAGUCAAGGAUGGAACCAAUGCAGGUGAUGGUUCUGGCUGCUUCUUGUGUUUCUGUUUGUGUUUGUCCUUCUCUUUAUAUUUCUAAAAACGAAUAUAAGUAAAAUCCAAUUUUAAUUUAACUAUAACCCCAUAUAUGCAACAGAGAUUUUUUUAUAACUAGUAAUUUAAAACAUUAACAAAUACUUCUGUCAAAAAUCACUUCCUCUGAUCAUUGUGUUGUUUUAUAAACAAGUAAUACUAGUGUGAGUUUCUUUUUAGGUAAGUUCAGCUUUUUUAUUCUUGAUAAGCCUAAAAUAAUACUAAUAAACAACUGAAGUCUGUAAUUAUUUGCUACAUUUACAUUCAGCAAAAUAUACACUUUUUCUCCUUAAAAACACCAAAUACGGCCAGGCAUGGUGGCUCACACCUGUAAUCCCAGCACUUUGGGAAGCUGAAGCGGGCGGAUCACGAGGCCAGGAGUUUAGGAUCAGCCUGACCAACACGGUGAAACCCCAUCUCUACUAAAAAUACAAAAAUUAGCCGGGCAUGGUGGUGUGCACCUGUAAUCCCAGCUACUCAGGAUGCUGAGGCAGGAGAAUCGCUUGAACCCAGGAGGCGGAGGUUGUGGUGAGCCAAGAUCGUUCCACUGCACCCGAGCCUGGGCAACAGUGUGAGACUCCGUCUCAACAAAACAAAACAAAACAAAACAAAACAAAACAAAACAAAACAAAACAACACAACCACCAAAUACUUUUGUGAACAUUUUAAAAUAGUACUUUAAAGUUUACAUAGCACUUCACAUCUGAACAGUACCAGAUUUUCCUCUACCAUGCAUGAGAAUUUCUCCAGAAACUAGAGGCACAGAAACUCCAGCAAAAAAUUAUUUCCUGGGUUUACUCAAAAAAAUAGAUGAAUUAGUUAUCUCUAACAAAAAAAUUUAGAUAAAGUUAGGGUGUGCUAUAAAGUGCUAAAACUGAUGAGCUAAAUAUAAAAAGGAAUUCAAUAAAAUAAAAAAUUAAUUACAUAUUGGAAGUCCAACUUAAUGUCAGAUAAUUUUAACCAAAAUGUUCUGUUGUUUGAAUCACUACAUUAUGAAACAGUAUUGGGUGUGAAAUUUACUAUUUAAAGAGUUCAUCGAAUUUGUUUAUUUCUCAUGAAGCUUAAAUCAGACCAUUGAGGGCCCUUAAUCUUUUCAAGCCAUGAAAGAUUGGUAUCUCUGUCAUCCUAAAAAGGUUUACAUACAAGCAGAACACAAUGCAUACAAAUUAAAGACAGAUGUUUUACUUUAAUACCCCCAAAAUACUGCCAUUUUUUCUGCUUUUAAUUCCUGAUCUAAGUACGUAAGAUAUUUUCAGGCUGCACUGUCAGUACUUCAGCAACAGUAAAUGUAAAUUAAUAUAAUAAUACUCUUUUCUUUUCUUUUUGAAACAGGGCCUCGCUGUGUCACUCAGGCUGGAGUGCAGUGGUACGAUCACAGCUCACUACAGCCUCAACCUCCUAGGCUCCAGCAAUCCUCUCACCUCAGCCUCCCAAGUAGUCAGGACUAUAGGCACAUGCCACCACACAAGGCUUUUUUUUAUAUGUAUUUUUUUUAUUUUUGAGAGUGCAGUGGUGUGAUUUUGGCUCACUGCAGCCUCAGCCUCCCGAGUAGCUGGGACUACAGGCAUGUGCCACCAGGCCUGGCUACAGGCUAAUUUUUUAUUUUACUUUUUGUAGAGACAGGGGUCUCACUAUGUUGCCCAGAGUGUUCUCGGCUAUCUUCCCACCCAAUGAUGCUUCUAAUUCAGACUUUUUAGGAAACAUUUUUAUCCUAAAGUUAUUUUGAUUGUGGCAGAUAAUGACUCCCCAAAGAAUCAUGCCAUAUUCUCUGCAACGGGUUAUCACUGCUCUUCUCAUCCUAAGACAUCCUCUUCUCCACUCCCUUGAACCUGGGUUAACCUUAUGACUUGUGUUACUCAACAGGAUGUGGCAGAAGUGAUGGUGUAUAAGCUCAAGAACCUGGAGGUUUAAGAAGUCUUCAUGGCUUCCACCUCUGCCACCUCAGUUAUCAGCCACCAUGUAAAGAAUCAUUCCACACUCUACUCAUAGAGAGGCCAAAUGGAGAAUGACAUCACAGGGUGAACUGAGGUACUCUAGCCUAUAGCCAGCAGCGCCUGGCGCCAGACAUGUGAAUAAGACCAACACUGAACACCCAGCUAGCCACCAGCUUAAUGAAUCCUCAUGAGUAAACCCGACAGAUACCACAUGGAAGAAAGAUAAAUCAUCCCUGCUGAGCCCACCGCUUAAUAAGCCACUAAAAGUCGUGGAGUGGUUUAAAGCAACAGUGUAACUGAAACCAGACUAGAAUACACGAUUGGGUCAUGGGAGCUAAAGAAAGCACAAACAAAAUAACAAUACAGGCCAGGCACACUGGCUCACACCUGUAAUCCCGGCACUUUGGGAAGCCAAGGCAGGAGGAUCACUUAAGCCAAGGAGUUCAAGGCCAGCCUGUGAAACAUAGGGAGACCCCAUCUCUACAAAAAAAAUAAAAAAUUAGCCAAGUGUGGUGGUGUAAACCUGUGGUCCCAGCUACUAAGAGGGCCAAGGCGGGAGGAUUGCUUGAGCCUGGAAGGUUGAGGCUGCAGUGAACUGUGAUCAUACCACUGCACUCCAACCUGGGUGACAGAGUGAGACCUCAUUUAUUUAAAAAAACUAAAAUAACAAUAUUAGGAUUUUUGUAAGUUAAUACAUUGAUAUGGUUUGGCUGUGUCUUCACCCAAAUCUCAUCUUGAAUUGUGGAUCCCACAAUCCCCACGUGUCAUGGGAGGGACCUGGUAGGAGGUAAUUGAAUCAUAGGGGUGGGUUUUUCCUGUGCUGUUCUCAUGAUAGUGAAUAAAUCUCAUGAGAGCUGAUGGUUUUAUAAAGGGCAGUUCCCCUGCACAUUGUCUCCUGCCUGCCGCCACGUAAGACUUGCCUUUACUCCUCCUUCGCCUUCUGCCAUAAUUGUGAGGCCUCCCCAGCCAUGUGCAACUGUGAGACCAUUAAACCUCUUUUUCUAUAAAAUUACCCAGUCUCGUGUAUUUCUUCAUAGCAGUAUGAAAAUGGGCAACUACACACACCAAAAUAACAAAUUUAUACACUCUAGUCUAUGAAGUUGAAAUGAUCCUGGUCUUUAAGUGUUAUAUCAAUGUUUUUCUCCCUACAAAGAUAAUUAAGAAGCCUUUCUAUCCUCCUUUACUCUAUAUAUUCUACUUCCCAUUCUGGGCUUUGUUCUUCAAGGUUAUAAGAGCUGAGAUAAUUUAAUGGUGAAUGAUCCUGAAUAACAAAAAAGUAAACAAACAAACCCUAACAACUUGCAAAACAAAUGAGAGUAAAAGGCAAAAAAUACACAUGUACAUGUGUGAAAACAUACAAUAUAGAGAUGUAAAAAAAUCAUACAAAGCAAAUCAUGGAACAAUAAAGAACUCUGGUCCUCUGUGAUACAUCAAGAAAUGUAUCCUGCAAUGAGCAUUACAAGUGUUCACUGGAACACACUGUGCAUGGCUUAUAUCCAUAUGAACAGCCUAUCAAAUGUGAAUCAAAGAAGUCUAAUGACUGUCACUAAAAACAUAUGUUGAUUUAAACAGAUUAAGAAAGGGAAAACCCAGGAAAAGAGUCAAUUAUAUAUGAAAAUUUAGUAUAUGAUAAAGAGGAGGUUCCAAAUCAGAAGGCAAAGACUAAAAUUACUUAAUAAUGGUACUAGAACUGGUUAAUAAUUUAGGGGAAAAUAUCUUAGACAAAAUAAAACAAAAUCCAGAUGGGUUAAAGGGUUAAGUAAAAAUUAAAAUAACAUCAAAGUCAGCUAGAAAGUAUUUUUAAAGUAUCUGACUUUAAGGAAGGAAAGACUUUUCUAACCUCCCCCCCAAAAAAUAAAAAAAACAGAAAGGGAAAACACAGACUUAGCUAUGCAAAUUAAAAAACAAAUCAUUAAAAAACAAAAACCAAACUGGGAAGACGGUAAAAUUAAAAAUUCUGUAUUUUAAUUCUGUUUAAAUUUUUUAAUAAAUAAGAAAAUACAUAUGCCAUUGGACAUGACUGGGCAAUCCCCCCGCCCCCCGCAAAAAAAAAGAGCCAGUAAACAGCAACAGAAACAUGCAACCCAAGUAUUAAAACAACUAAAGGUAGUAUUUUUCUCCUAUAUAGUGACCAAAGUUGUUGGGUUUUGUUUUUAAUGACAAGAUCUAAUAACUGCCUAGGGAAAUGAGCACUUGCAUACAUUACUAGAGAAAAUGUAAACAUAUAAAGAACACUUAUUUUUGUUCUUAAAGAGACUGGGUCUUGCUAUUUUCCCCAGGCUGGCCUUGAAGUCCUGGGCUCAAAGGAUCCUUCUGCCUUAGCCUCCCAAAUAUCUGGGACUAUUGGCACACACUACUGAGCCAAGCUGACAAUUUUUAAAACAAGAGUUAGAAACUAUAAAAAUACUCAUACCAUGUGACCUAGUAAUUUCACAUCUAACAAGGUGUACAAAGAUUUAAAUACAGUUUAUCAUACUUCUAUUUGCAAUGGGGAGAAAAAUGUAAACAACUUGUUCAACAACAGAGGUGUGCUUGAAAAAAAAUCAUUAUGCAAGCAUAUAAUGGCCAUUAAAAUAAGUCACAGAUGGCCAGGUGCAGCGGCUCAUGCCUGUAAUCCCAGCACUUUGGGAGGCCGAGGUGGGCGGAUCACGAGGUCGGGAGAUCGAGACCAUCCUGGCUAAGACGGUGAAACCCCGUUCUCUACUAAAAAUACAAAAGAUUAGUCGGGCGUGGUGGCGGGCGCCUGUAGUCCCAGCUACUCAGGAGGCUGAGGCAAAAGAAUGGCAUCAACUCGAGAGGCGGAGCUUGCAGUGAGCCCAGAUCACGCCACUGCACUCCAGCCUGGGCGACAGAGCGAGACUCCGUCUCAGAAAAAAAAAAAAAAAAAAGGGAAUAGUCAGAGAUUUCGGAAAACUGUUAACAGAUGAGCUUUGUGUGUAGUUCACAGAUUACAUAUGUACUCUUCAGAACUGUGAAUUCCCCUUGGCCUGAAGAUAUGAACUUACAAGUAUUAUCUUCACUGCUUGUUAGGUCAAGACAGCCAACGUCACUCUCAGUUGAAUCAGUAUGUAUAAUUAGCAAUACAAAAUCAGAACUGUAAAAGUUUAUAUUUUAUGAAUACACAUGAUAUC